CCUACGGGAGGCAGCAGUAAGGAAUAUUGGACAAUGCUCGCAAGAGUGAUCCAGCCAUGCCGCGUGCAGGAAGAAUGCCCUAUGGGUAGUAAACUGCUUUUGAACUAGAGAAAACCCCAGUACGUGUACUGGGCUGAUAGUAUAGUUAGAAUAAGCAUCGGCUAACUUCGUGCCAGCAGCCGCGGUAAGACGAAGGAUGCAAGCGUUAUCCGGAUUCAUUGGGUUUAAAGGGAGCGUAGGUGGACUGAUAAGUCAGUGGUGAAAUCUCCGAGCUUAACUCGGAAAUUGCCAUUGAUACUGUUGGUCUUGAGUACAGUUGCUGUGGGCGGAAAUAUGACAUGUAGUGGUGAAAUACAUAGAGAUGUCAUAGAACACCGAUUGCGAAGGCAGCUCACAAAGCUGUAACUGACACUGAGGCUCGAAAGUGGNGGGAGUACAACAGAGUAGAUACCUACGUAGUCGCACCGUAACGAUAGAUACUCG
rnacentral:rRNA from 1 species